rnacentral:lncRNA from 1 species
AAGUUCCACGCAACAAAGUUGUGUGCAAGUUCCAUGCAAUCCAUAUUUUUCAGACAAGCAUUUUGUGACCAAUUAAAGUUCUAUGCAAUCCAUUAUAGCGAUCCAAUCCAUGACAAACCUUAUGGGAGUGUGGGACAGCAGAUGCUUCGGCCAUUUUCGUCCUUAUGCUGGCUCAGCACGAAGUUGCUAUCAUUCAUGUUUAUUUGAUGCAACCCUUGAUAGCCAGGUGGGAGGUGGUUGUCUCUUCUAUUGUUUGCUGCUAUCCGGCUCGAA